GGGUACAGCUUAGUCGUAGAGUGUGUGCUUAGCACGCACAGGGUCCUGGGUUCAAUCCCCAGUACCUCCA
rnacentral:tRNA from 1 species